GAUGAACGCUAGCUACAGGCUUAACACAUGCAAGUCGAGGGGAAACGACAUCGAAAGCUUGCUUUUGAUGGGCGUCGACCGGCGCACGGGUGAGUAACGCGUAUCCAACCUGCCCACCACUCGGGGAUAACUUUGCGAAAGUAAGACUAAUACCCAAUGACGUCUCUAGAAGACAUCUCAAAGAGAUUAAAGAUUUAUCGGUGAUGGAUGGGGAUGCGUCUGAUUAGCUUGUUGGCGGGGUAACGGCCCACCAAGGCGACGAUCAGUAGGGGUUCUGAGAGGAAGGUCCCCCACAUUGGAACUGAGACACGGUCCAAACUCCUACGGGAGGCAGCAGUGAGGAAUAUUGGUCAAUGGACGAGAGUCUGAACCAGCCAAGUAGCGUGCAGGAUGACGGCCCUAUGGGUUGUAAACUGCUUUUAUAAGGGAAUAAAGUGAGAGUCGUGACUCUUUUUGCAUGUACCUUAUGAAUAAGGACCGGCUAAUUCCGUGCCAGCCGCCGCGGUAA
rnacentral:rRNA from 1 species